GGGAAUGUGACUCAGUGGUAGAGUGUUUGCCUUGCAUGCAUGAGGCCCUGGGUUCAAUUCCUCAGUACCA
rnacentral:tRNA from 1 species